GAUGAACGCUAGCGGCAGGCCUAACACAUGCAAGUCGAGGGGUAGAACACUUCGGUGUUUGAGACCGGCGCACGGGUGCGUAACGCGUAUGCAAUCUACCUUAUACAGGGGAAUAGCCCAGAGAAAUUUGGAUUAAUGCCCCAUAGCAUUACGACUUGGCAUCAAGAUGUAAUUAAAGUUCCAACGGUAUAAGAUGAGCAUGCGUCCCAUUAGUUAGUUGGUAAGGUAACGGCUUACCAAGACGAUGAUGGGUAGGGGUCCUGAGAGGGGGAUACCCCACACUGGUACUGAGACACGGACCAGACUCCUACGGGAGGCAGCAGUGAGGAAUAUUGGUCAAUGGUCGCAAGACUGAACCAGCCAUGCCGCGUGCAGGAAGACGGUCCUAUGGAUUGUAAACUGCGUUUAUACAGGAAGAAGCCCUCCCACGUGUGGGAGCUUGACGGUACUGUAGGAAUAAGGAUCGGCUAACUCCGUGCCAGCCGCCGCCGUAA
rnacentral:rRNA from 1 species